UACGGAGGGUGCAAGCGUUAUCCGGAUUCACUGGGUUUAAAGGGUGCGUAGGCGGGUUAUUAAGUCAGUGGUGAAAGCCUUCAGCUUAACUGAAGAAUUGCCAUUGAUACUGAUGAUCUUGAGUAUGAUUGAGGUGGGCGGAAUGUGUCAUGUAGCGGUGAAAUGCUUAGAUAUGACACAGAACACCGAUUGCGAAGGCAGCUCACUAAGCCAUAACUGACGCUGAUGCACGAAAGCGUGGGGAGCAAACAGG
rnacentral:rRNA from 1 species